CAUGUCGUGAACCAACCACGGUUCUAUGACUCUGGCAGUCUGGCUACAUAUUUCACGCAUACGCAUUAGCUUUUAAAAUUUUGCAAACGGCAUGACAAUGCCGUGGCGCCGUGGCAAAGAAGGCGGGCAAACUGGCAAAGUGCUGAACUGGUGGCGUAUAAAUUCUCUCCUAGGUCAGAACUUAGAAGUAUAUAUAGCGAGUGAUAGGAUGUCCUUCAGAUGAGUAAGUUGAAAAUCGCUGUUUGUAUUUACAAAUUUAUUUUUUAAGUUGCAUGAAACUUUUGGUGAAAACCAUGAAUUCAAAUGGAAGAAUUCCAUUGGUGGUGAUUUUGAGGAGAGAUGAAUUAGGUCUUGGAUUGUCUACCAUCUGUGGAGUGAAGGGAGUUAUAACUUUGGGUUAUAUUCCAUGAUGGUGACCUCUGGGGUAUGCUCUGCUGGACAAUGUGGUAGACCAUUCUUUAUGGUGAUACUGUGCUUCUGAUGUUUAUAGCUGCUGUUACAGUGCCUCUACUGGCAUUUUAAUUUUGGGGUCUACCUACCUUCUACAUUUACUCCACAAUCCCUUGGGUUGUUGUGUCGGCUUAUCGCAUAGACUGGUCUUGUUCUGGGACUUGGCGGUUUUAAGGUAUAUUAUUUUCGCGACAUCCAUUUUACAGACGCACAGUGAUAGUCUGGCUCAUCCUCGUUAGUUGGAUAGUUGGUAAAGAAAAUUGCUAAAUCAUCUGAAACUUCUGCAGAGCUGUGUGAAAUAAUUGCCGCCACAGUUUUGAUUCCUCGACAAGUCUUUGUUGUAUGCCAUCAGAUAGAUCGAAGGUUCGGAAUGGGAUGGAAUUCCCGCCGAAUUGAAAAUUGAGCAUCUUGGCCAUCUACUCUUGAUUGUCGAAUCCGUUGCCAAAAAAUAAAUCUUUGUUGAUUGUUCUCUUA